rnacentral:rRNA from 1 species
GGUUAAGCGACUAAGCGUACACGGUGGAUGCCCUGGCAGUCAGAGGCGAUGAAGGACGUGCUAAUCUGCGAUAAGCGCCGGUAAGGUGAUAUGAACCGUUAUAACCGGCGAUUUCCGAAUGGGGAAACCCAGUGUGACUCGUCACACUAUCAUUAACUGAAUCCAUAGGUUAAUGAGGCGAACCGGGGGAACUGAAACAUCUAAGUACCCCGAGGAAAAGAAAUCAACCGAGAUUCCCCCAGUAGCGGCGAGCGAACGGGGAGGAGCCCAGAGUCUGAAUCAGCAUGUGUGUUAGUGGAAGCGUCUGGAAAGGCGCGCGAUACAGGGUGACAGCCCCGUACACAAAAGCGCAUGUGCUGUGAGCUCGAUGAGUAGGGCGGGACACGUGGUAUCCUGUCUGAAUAUGGGGGGACCAUCCUCCAAGGCUAAAUACUCCUGACUGACCGAUAGUGAACCAGUACCGUGAGGGAAAGGCGAAAAGAACCCCGGCGAGGGGAGUGAAAAAGAACCUGAAACCGUGUACGUACAAGCAGUGGGAGCCCCACCACUAAGCCAGUGGUGAACUCCACAUACGCAUCCUUUGCUGAGGAUACGGUUAACGGAGCGAAAGCGACGUUCAACCUCAAAAGAAGCAGAGGGGGCUUAGUGGUGGGGUGACUGCGUACCUUUUGUAUAAUGGGUCAGCGACUUAUAUUCUGUAGCAAGGUUAACCGUAUAGGGGAGCCG